UACGUAGGUCCCGAGCGUUGUCCGGAUUUAUUGGGCGUAAAGCGAGCGCAGGCGGUUUGAUAAGUCAGAAGUAAAAGGCUGUGGCUCAACCAUAGUACGCUUUUGAAACUGUCAAACUUGAGUGCAGAAGGGGGGAGUGGAAUUCCAUGUGUAGCGGUGAAAUGCGUAGAUAUAUGGAGGAACACCGGUGGCGAAAGCGGCUCUCUGGUCUGUAACUGACGCUGAGGCUCGAAAGCGUGGGGAGCGAACAGG
rnacentral:rRNA from 1 species